GGGAAACGGGAUGAGGGGCCCAGCCCUAGGGCCCAAGACAAAAAAUAUUUGGGGCA
rfam:Sarcophilus harrisii ctg7180002185049, whole genome shotgun sequence.